GACGAACGCUGGCGGCGUGCUUAACACAUGCAAGUCGAACGGAAAGGCCCUGCUUUUGUGGGGUGCUCGAGUGGCGAACGGGUGAGUAACACGUGAGUAACCUGCCCUUGACUUUGGGAUAACUUCAGGAAACUGGGGCUAAUACCGGAUAGGAGCUCCUGCUGCAUGGUGGGGGUUGGAAAGUUUCGGCGGUUGGGGAUGGACUCGCGGCUUAUCAGCAUGUUGGUGGGGUAGUGGCUUACCAAGGCUUUGACGGGUAGCCGGCCUGAGAGGGUGACCGGCCACAUUGGGACUGAGAUACGGACCAGACUCCUACGGGAGGCAGCAGUGGGGAAUAUUGCACAAUGGGCGGAAGCAUGAUGCAGCAACGCCGCGUGCGGGAUGACGGCCUUCGGGUUGUAAACCGCUUUCGCCUGUGACGAAGCGUGAGUGACGGUAAUGGGUAAAGAAGCACCGGCUAACUACGUG
rnacentral:rRNA from 1 species